AACGAACGCUGGCGGCAGGCCUAACACAUGCAAGUCGAGCGAGGACUUCGGUUCUAGCGGCGGACGGGUGAGUAACGCGUGGGAAUGUGCCCUUCUCUACGGAAUAGCCCUGGGAAACUGGGAGUAAUACCGGAUACGCCCUUUUGGGGAAAGAUUUAUCGGAGAAGGAUCAGCCCGCGUUGGAUUAGGUAGUUGGUGGGGUAAUGGCCUACCAAGCCGACGAUCCAUAGCUGGUUUGAGAGGAUGAUCAGCCACACUGGGACUGAGACACGGCCCAGACUCCUACGGGAGGCAGCAGUGGGGAAUCUUAGACAAUGGGGGAAACCCUGAUCUAGCCAUGCCGCGUGAGUGAUGAAGGCCUUAGGGUUGUAAAGCUCUUUCAGCUGGGAAGAUAAUGACGGUACCAGCAGAAGAAGCCCCGGCUAACUCCGUG
rnacentral:rRNA from 1 species